rnacentral:rRNA from 1 species
AGCGUCAAAAGGGCAUCCGGGGGAUGUCUUGGCGGUAAGAGGCGAUGAAGGACGUGGCACUCUGCGAUAAGCACGGGGGAGGCGAGAGCACCCAUUGAUCCCGUGAUUUCCGAAUGGGGAAACCCAUCUCCGAGAUGUGUGACUAUUAUCCAAUUUCGGUUGGAUGCUGGUCAUACAUUUCAAUAGAGAGAUAUAAUACACUGAAUACAUAGGUGUUAUUAAGCGAACCCGGGGAAUUGAAACAUCUAAGUACCCGGAGGAAAGGACAUCAAUUGAGACUCCCUUAGUAGCGGCGAGCGAACGGGGACCAGGCC